AUGCAUCAUGGGAACCGAUAGCAUUGCGGUGAUUGGUUCUUACUGUAAGCGGCAGUGCUUUGUUUGUUAACCGCCUUUGAAGUUAGCGUCACUUUGCGGAGCGUUUGAUCCAAGAGGAAACAUAGAAAAUUCAAUUUCGCAUCUGAAAAAUUUAAAAUGGCAGCUUCAAAGAAGGCAAGUCCCAAAAAGGCAACUACCCCUAAAGCCGAAAAACCAAAGGCUACCAAAGGACGUGGCAGACCUAAGGGUGCAACUAAGAAAGCGGCGAAAGGUGGUGCCAAGAAGGCAGUGAAACGCGCUGGCGGAAAGAAGAAGAAGUAAAAUAUCCCUCAAUAUCUCAUCAUAUAUUCUCCAGUUACAUAGAUAUAACCACAAUGCACGGCAAAUCUUCCUUCCUUUUUAUUUCAUUGCACAGAAGAAUGGACAAACUAAACAAAGCCAACCUUAAACUGAAGAAUUCAUGGAAAACGACUAACUUUGCUUACCACAAUUGAAGAAUCUCAUGAAACAGAUAAAAAAACAAACAGUGAUUUUUGUUUUUAAAAAUGGACUGCAAAAAUUAUCUUUUCUGUAGCCAUAGAAACUGUUAUGUGGAAUUUUAUAUCUAUUUAUCAGGGAACAUUUUGUGUGUGUUUAUUUCCACUAGUAUUAGUUUUGUAGACAUAAUUUUAAUCUUUUCUUGGAAAUCAAUUUGAUAUAAAAAAUAUCUGAUCUUACCUCACAAAACAAGAUAAUAAGACAAAGUUCAUACCGGUUAUUAUUUUUUUACAUUUUUCGUAAUCAUUCAUUUUUACAUUUUUCUUAUCAUUCAUUGUCAUUCUUAUAUUUUUUCCGGAACAUUUUGAGUCCAUAUUUUGUAAAAUUUUAAGACAGAAGUUGAGAAAAAAAAAUCUUUUUUGAGAAUCACAUUUUUAUGUCAUUUUUAAAUACUCAUGAUUUUUUUUCUUGUGGAUAUAUAAUUAAGUAGGGCUCUUACUGUAAAUUACUUUUAAUAUAUAAAAGUUGUAUGUAAAAUUUGCAAUAAUUCUGUAUUAAACUUAAUUGUUGUAACAACA